ACGGGGGCCCGCACAAGCGGUGGAGCAUGUGGUUUAAUUCGAAGCUACGCGAAGAACCUUACCAGGUCUUGACAUACUAUGCAAAUCUAAGAGAUUAGACGUUCCCUUCGGGGACAUGGAUACAGGUGGUGCAUGGUUGUCGUCAGCUCGUGUCGUGAGAUGUUGGGUUAAGUCCCGCAACGAGCGCAACCCUUAUUAUCAGUUGCCAGCAUUAAGUUGGGCACUCUGGUGAGACUGCCGGUGACAAACCGGAGGAAGGUGGGGAUGACGUCAAAUCAUCAUGCCCCUUAUGACCUGGGCUACACACGUGCUACAAUGGAUGGUACAACGAGUUGCGAACUCGCGAGAGUAAGCUAAUCUCUUAAAGCCAUUCUCAGUUCGGAUUGUAGGCUGCAACUCGCCUACAUGAAGUCGGAAUCGCUAGUAAUCGCGGAUCAGCAUGCCGCGGUGAAUACGUUCCCGGGCCUUGUACACACCGCCCGUCACACCAUGAGAGUUUGUAACACCCAAAGUCGGUGGGGUAACCUUUUAGGAACCAAGCCGCCCUAAAAGUGGAAUCACACGGAAUGU
rnacentral:rRNA from 2 species